rnacentral:rRNA from 1 species
UACGUAGGGGGCAAGCGUUGUCCGGAUUUAUUGGGCGUAAAGCGCGUGUAGGCGGCCCGGUAAGUCCGCUGUGAAAGUCGGGGGCUCAACCCUCGAAUGCCGGUGGAUACUGCCGGGCUAGAGGGUGGUAGAGGCGAGUGGAAUUCCCGGUGUAGCGGUGAAAUGCGUAGAUAUCAGCAGGAACACCCGUGGCGAAGGCGGCUUCCUGGGCCGCCCCUGACGCUGAGGCGCGAAAGCGUGGGGAGCGAACGGG